GUGAAGCAGGGCAGUUGCAGCACAGAAAUUGAAGACCAAUUCUGGUGAAGGUAGCAUGUCGAAGUUUUCGCAGCCUUCGGGCAAUCCUGCUUCUUCGGCUGGAAAUUUCACUUGGAUUACUCGGAUUUGGAGCCCAGAUUCUAGGUCUCGAGUAAGAACUGUUUGAAAUCGGGCUGCAUUGUGGGGUGUGGUGAAUAUGGUGACAAUGAUGCCUUGUUGUGCAAACAAUCUAGCAAUGUCUAUCAAUGGGAUCAUGUGGCCUGAAGCCAUUAGAGGAAAGAACACAAAGUGAAGCUGGUGGUCUUGAUGAGAAGCCAUGGAAAUUAAGGGGAAGAGAUGAACAACAAUAAUGUUCAUGAAAUGAAUUAAGCAGGCUUAAGUUUCUUAUUUAAGUACUGCUAUAUAUAAAAACUUUGAUGCUACCAGUCAAUUGUUCUUUGUUUAUACAUGUAUUAGUUUAUCCAAAGAAGAUAUGUAAGAGCAUAUGUAUACAUGUAUUAGUUUAUCCAAAGAAGAUUAUGACUCAGAGAAGAAAAUGUUGUUUAUGGAUGAAGAGGUUUAGGAAAUAGUUGGUUUUAGUGUUUGGGACAAUAGCUUGACUAUGUAUAGAAAACUUUUAGAAGAGUAACAAAGUAAAAUUUUAUUUGAAUGAGGAGAAAAGGUACAAAGCUUAGAUAUAAGCCUUAGUGGGAUAUAGGACAGCUGGUUGUUUUUCAGCUUAUAUAUUUGUUAAGGCAACAAGCCUAUAUAUAGGAGAGUCCUAACCGACUUAGUUAGUUUAUUAUAGAAAUAUUUAGUCAUGUACUCAUUUUUAUAAACGAACCAACAAAUGACAGCUGACCAUAUUGAAUUUAAUUUUGAUUAUUAAAUUACUUUGAUGUCCUAUUUAGUGUUUUGGAUUUUUUAUGAAGUUUUAGGAUUGGACUUGUUUUAAGAAAUUAAAUACAGUUUUAUAAUUUAUAAGAAGUUAAAAGCUUCUUUGUUAUAUUGUAGAUGGACUUUGAGUGUAUUUUUAAAGUCUAUUAUCUAUAUAUAUAUAUAUACACACUAAGUGGGUUUGCUCAGAUUUUUCUAUAUUAUCCGACACACAAGUGUAGAAAAGAGCUUUGUGGAUAACGUUACCUCUGACCUUUCUCUUUCAUCUGCUAAGACAGACCUGCGGGGGCCCGCUACUAAGUCCUCCAAACUUAUUGAUACAUUGAAUUGAUGAAAAUGUCAUGGUGAUUGGGCCCACAGGCUAGGUGUGAGAAGUUUCGCAGCAGCAAACUUUGACUAUGGCUAAAGAACGUCUUCCUUGUGAAGUAACAGAUUGUGAGAUGUAAGCAUUCAGUGAGUCACAGAGGAAAGAAAAGACUAGAGAGUGAAAGUAUCCAGUGGUCCAGGCGUGGAGUUUUUAUCUUAAACAUCUCGGCGCAGUUAGCAAGGGACUACUUACUUUUAAGCAAUAGAUUAUUGUGAUACUCCUCCAAUGUAAGAUUAUACUAAUCAUCAUUCAUGACUUGUACCCAACCACGCAACUCCAACAACAUUAAUAUCUCCCACACAUCUAAAUAUGGAACAUGAAAGAUCAUAUGAAAUAGCCCCUGCUAUUACCAUACAAGGUAAAAGAAGGAAAUAGUGGAAUUCUGUACAAAUUGGUUAGAGCUUUUAGCUGUGUAAUGUUAAGGUCAGAAGAUCCACCUUCUUUCUUUGCCGUCUCCCCAAACUCUCUGGCUUACUCUCUUCUCCCUUGCCUUUGUUAUCCAAGAAUUUCUGGAGUUACGUGAAGCAUCUCCCAUUGCUAAAUAUGGAACAUACAAGAUAUUUGUUGGGAUCUCACUGAGCACCCAACAGUAGGUUGCUCUGUCAGAUUCUUUUUUGCAGCAGCCGUUGGAUAACAUGCGAAGGUAGGCAGGACACCGUUCAGUUUGGUUUGGUCUAGAGCCUAAAUUGUGAAUCAAACCGAUCAUGUCGAUAAUAAUUUGGUCAAACCAUAAACCGAACCAAUAAAAUUAGUUUAGGUCUGUUCGGUUUAUUAAGAUUCGUGAUUUGGGUUGGUCAUUUUGAUUUCUCUUUACACACCAAUUUUCUUAUUUUGUUUAAUUAUUGUUUUUAUAAGAAAUUAAUAGGCCGAAAACACACCUAUAUUUGGUUCUUCUAAAUCAACCUAAUAACAUUCCAAAUCAAACUAAAGACAGUAAUGAGAGCAAUAGUAAAAUAAACAACUGCAUUACAAUCAUUACAGAGCAGAAUGUAUGCAGUAAGCAGUAUGCUUGAGAAAAGAACAUUCAAACUCUUCUUAGUUUUUUCUUCCAAAAAUUUAAAAAAACUCUUCUUAGUUUGUGUUUAUGCAGUUAGUUCUUUGAUCUCUUGGAUUAGCUGUUUUAUGUUGAGGUGAGAAGAUCCACCUUCUGCUACUGCUCUCUUUGCCAUCUUUGCUAACUCUCUGGCUCUCUCUCUUCUCCCUUGGCUAUCUUCUCCAUCAAUCAAUUUCUCUAUGGCCUCCUUCACCUUCUCCUUUCUCAAAACCACCCUAAUCUUCUCCUCCUCUCCCCACAAAACUGAAAAUUCCACACCAACUCUCACUGAAAUCUUUAGAAUCUGUUCAACAAGUUUCUCAUUUAUAAAUUGGUCCCCAUGCAGUGGCCAUGUGAGCAAAGGCACCCCAGCACAAAUCCCUUCCAAUGUGGAAUUCCAGCCACAAUGUGUCAAGAACCCACCAACUGCAGGGUGUGAUAAUAUAAGCGUCUGCGGAGCCCAACCAUGAAUCACGAGGCUCCUUGCUCUGUUCCUUUCCUCAAAUCCACUUUCUGCAAUCCAUUUCUGCAAUUCCUGUAUUUCAAUGCAGCCCCUUACAACCCAAAUGAACGGUUUAUUUGAUGCCUCUAACGCCAAUCCAAUCUCUAUCAACUGUUCAGAGCUGAGGUGACACAUACUUCCAAAGCAAGCAUAAAGUACAGAAGCUGGUGCCCAUGAGUCGAGCCAUUUGAAGCAGUGAAGUUCAUCAAUGGAGACUUUGUUGCCCCUUUGUGCCUUGUCCAAGUCAUCUUUGUUGCAUAGGGAAGCAGGGCCAAUGCACCAGAGUUUAUCAUUUUUUACCUUUUUGUAUGCUUGAACAUAUGCUGGCUCCAAUUCCUCAAAAGUAUUCACGAUCAUCCCAUAUGUCUCCGUUUCUACUGCUCCCAUUUUGUCAAAAAAAUCUUUCAGUCUUGCUGUCACUGACCCAUCUGGAAGCUGAUCUUUCGUCAUCUCAAUUCGAUCAGGCAGGUUUGGCAGAACAAGGUACUCUGAAUCAGACGUUACACUCUCAAGCACGUUGGAUACGCUCAAAUUGUGAACGCACAAGAAAGUGAUGCAGUUUGUUCCACCAAAAGAUAUCCUUGGAAUGUGAUGCUUGCUAGCAAGGUCAUAAGUCCAUGGAAAACUCACGUCUGAGAUUAUGCAAUUUGGCUUUGGAGUGAGCUCUUCAAACAAUUUCUCUACUGGCUUGUGAAGCAAGGUAGUUGCAGCAAAGCAAUUGAAGACCAAGUCUGGUGAAGGUAGCAUGUCGAAGUUUUCGCAGCCUUCGGGCAAUCCUGCUUCUUCGGCUGGAAAUUUCACUUGGAUUACUCGAAUUUGGAGCCCAGAUUCUAGGUCUCGAGUAAGAACUGUUUGAAAUCGGGCUGCAUUGUGGGGUGUGGUGAAUAUGGUGACAAUGAUGCCUUGUUGUGCAAACAAUCUAGCAAUGUCUAUCAAUGGGAUCAUGUGGCCUGAAGCCAUUAGAGGAAAGAACACAAAGUGAAG
rnacentral:lncRNA from 1 species